CUCCAUGGCAGCCGCACGCGGGCAGGCUUCGGCCUGGUCGGGUUUCCUAUUGGCCCGGGUCUCACCCCCGCGUGUUGCUGCCACCAU
rnacentral:antisense_RNA from 18 species